rnacentral:rRNA from 1 species
CCGCCCGUCACACCAUGGGAGUGGAUUGCACCAGAAGUGGCUGCGCUAACCCGCAAGGGAGGGCAGGCCCCCAAGGUGUGGUUCAUGACUGGGGUG